GACGUAGGGCGCAAGCGUUGUCCGGAAUUAUUGGGCGUAAAGAGCUCGUAGGCGGUUUGUCGCGUCUGCUGUGAAAACUGGGGGCUCAACCCCCAGCCUGCAGUGGGUACGGGCAGACUAGAGUGCGGUAGGGGAGAUUGGAAUUCCUGGUGUAGCGGUGGAAUGCGCAGAUAUCAGGAGGAACACCGAUGGCGAAGGCAGAUCUCUGGGCCGUAACUGACGCUGAGGAGCGAAAGCAUGGGGAGCGAACAGG
rnacentral:rRNA from 1 species